ACGAACGCUGGCGGCGUGCCUAAUACAUGCAAGUCGAACGCUCCUACCGGUGCUUGCACCGGGAAAGAAGAGUGGCGGACGGGUGAGUAACACGUGGGUAACCUACCUACAAGCGGGGGAUAACAUUCGGAAACGGAUGCUAAUACCGCAUAGAUCUUUUUGUCUCCUGGCAGAAAGAAGAAAGACGGUUUCGGCUGUCACUUGUAGAUGGACCCGCGGCGCAUUAGUUAGUUGGUGAGGUAAUGGCUCACCAAGACGAUGAUGCGUAGCCGACCUGAGAGGGUGAUCGGCCACACUGGGACUGAGACACGGCCCAGACUCCUACGGGAGGCAGCAGUAGGGAAUCUUCCGCAAUGGACGAAAGUCUGACGGAGCAACGCCGCGUGAGUGAAGAAAGGUUUUCGGAUCGUAAAACUCUGUUGUUAGAGAAGAACAAGGAUGAGAGUAACUGCUCGUCCCUUGACGGUAUCUAACCAGAAAGCCAUGGCUAACUACGUGCCAGCAGCCGC
rnacentral:rRNA from 1 species